UCCCUGGUGGUGUAGUGGUUAAGACUCCUGCUUUCACUGCAGGGAGCAUGGGUUUGAUCCCUGGUCAGGGAA
rnacentral:tRNA from 1 species